rnacentral:rRNA from 1 species
UACGUAGGGUGCGAGCGUUGUCCGGAAUUAUUGGGCGUAAAGAGCUCGUAGGCGGUCUGUCGCGUCGGUCGUGAAAACUUGGGGCUUAACCCUGAGCUUGCGGUCGAUACGGGCAUGACUGGAGUUCGGCAGGGGAGACUGGAAUUCCUGGUGUAGCGGUGAAAUGCGCAGAUAUCAGGAGGAACACCGGUGGCGAAGGCGGGUCUUUGGGCCGAUACUGACGCUGAGGAGCGAAAGCGUGGGGAGCGAACAGG